UUUUUUUUCCUCCAGUACUGGAGAUUGAAUCCAGGGGGCAUUUUAUCACUGAGCUAUACCCCCAAUCCCUCCCUUUUAAAUUUUUUUUAUUUUGAGACAGGUUCUCACUAAAUUACUUAGGGCCUCACUAAGUUGCCAAGGCUGGCUUUGAACUUGUGAUCCUCCUGCCUCAGCCUCCAGGUAGCUGUGUGCCACCACACCCAACUAGCCAGUGUCUUUUGAAUGAAUGAACUUUGGAGAAGACCCUUAGAUUUUCCAAGCCCUGAAGAGAUAAAUUUCCUAAAUCAAGGUUUUCUUGCCAGAAACAGGCUGCAAUUGCACACAGGCAUUGUGCUGCUCUCUGAUGAUUUCAGAUCCAUCUCUGGUCAGGAAUAGGUGGGAGUUUCCCUGUCCAACUGAAGGACAACUCCUAUGUUACUCCCUCUCUGAAGAGAUGAAAAAUAAUACGUCAUAGAAAUGUUUCUAAAAGCUAUUAAAGUACAUGUACCAUGGUCCUGGCACUAUGCUAAAUGCUUUUCAGGUAGCCCAUUUAAUCUCAUAGCAGCUUGAUGGUCACCAGGCUCCAAGGUGAUAAAACUAGAAAAGGAUAUAAGACAGGCAAAAUGUGCCUCCAAAGAACUAGAAAUCAGGAAUCCUCAGCUGCCUUUAGCUUACUAGGCCCAUCAACACUCCCAACAUUUAAACCAUGAUCUUCCCCUCAAAUUGACUAACCUUUCAUACCUCUUCCAUCCCUUACUUCACCGUGUCCCAAGCACCCAUCUACAUCUGGUCCCACUAUCCCUAUCAGCAGAUCUCUAAUUAUUACAUUUCUAACACUCAGGCCAUAUGUUU
rnacentral:lncRNA from 1 species